GAACACCAAAGAUUUUUCGCCCUUAGACCCGGAUGUUCACCCACAAAAGGCUAAUCACCACGUUGAGCAUCCACUUUAAGUGGUUAUCGCUCCAAUCCACUAGAACCAACAAAAUAUCAAGUGUUUAAGGAUUACAACACGAUAGAUCUUAAAAGAUCUAGCCCUUAGACUCUGAAAAGUUUCAGAUUCUCACUCACACAGAUUACACCAAAGUGAUCAGCACCAAACACUCAAUCAGUAAGUAGAAUCAUCACAUGAAUACUGUAAUCUAUACUAGAUCUUAUCAAGAACACCUAGAAACCAAGAGAUUACAGACGAAAACCAAGAGUUUUCAGAGAAGAGAUGAACAGAGAACGAAGACCCAAGAAGUCUCUCGAAUAGUCAGGCAAGUGAAGAGUCUAGGGCAAGGUAAAUGAAAAAUCAUUUGCAUCCAACGGUUCAGCCGACUCCACCUGGCAUCAUCUGAUCCAUCCAAUUAAAACAAACUAAAGUCGCAUUUACAAGAGAAACACGAGACUGCACAAGUGGGGGCAAACCGGGUCACAUUCAGUUAAAAGGGCCACUCCUUUUUGGGCUGCAUCAUUGGGCUCCAAAAAUGUCGAGCAUAACAUCUAACAUUCUCCACCUUGCUUGACAUUUUGGGUUUCAAGUGGAUUAGAGAAUAACACUUUCUUUAGAUUUCAUUUGCUCUUAUUUCCUACCAAAAAAAAAAAACUUUAGUUAGUAAUAAUAUUUAGGAGAUUUAAGCAAUUCCUAAAUUUAUGUAAAGGAAGUAUCUUUGUUCCCAUAUCAACUAGAUUACACUUAGUGGAAAUCUUAUCAAUUUU
rnacentral:lncRNA from 1 species